ACUAAAACAGUAGAUUACGGGUCAUAAUUGCCGUCCCCGGUCAAUUUCUAACCUAUAACUCCCAAGAGCACAAAAGAUCAACAAUCCCUCACCCAACUCUCAACCUCCCGGUUUAUUGAGAUGAUAUGUAUCAAACUCCUAAUCUAUUGUAAUUAUCAUCUCCCGAUUCAAAUCACAAAUUAGAAAUGCACAAAAGGUGGCCAACCAAUCAUACAAGAGAUAAAUCUAGGGCUUGAAAAGAUAACAAUAAGCACAAUCAAGAUAUAUAUUAAACAAAGAAAUCAAUCCAUUACAAAUCCAUCUAAUCUAAUCCCUAAGAUAAGAGAUUUUAGCCAAGCAUAUUCAUAAUAAAAACAAAUCCCAAGUCAUAAGAAAACAUAAAUAAAGAUAUAGAGAGAUAGAGAUUCAUAGACAAAUCCUAUAAUCUUGAUCUUCAAUCAUGUAGUCUUGAUGAGCUCCUUUCCAAGUCUUCCCCUUCUUUCUUUGAUUUUGGUGUUGUUCUUGUGUGUGGAAGAGAGAAAAAUGGUAGAGAAUGGAGGCUAGGGUUUGGAAUUGGAGUGUUGGGGAAGAUGAAAAUGUGUGGGAAUGAUGAAUGGUGUGAGGAAUGGGGGGAAAAUGGGGUUUUAGAGCUCAAAAUCACGUCUGGGGCCCACUUGGGGGAAGCCCCGCCCUUUUCCCGCGGUCACGGCCCGCGUCCGCGGCCUUCAAACGUGGGGGAUGCUCAGGGGACCCGCGGUCCCACACCGCGGCCGCGGGUGAUGACCGUGGGCGUCUCCUGGAGUCGGGGGCAGCUGACCCGCGGUCCCACCCCGCGGCCGCGGGUGGUGACCGCGGGGUACUGGGCGUUUUGCGCAGUCCGCUCGUUUUGCUCCGUUCUCCCUCGUCCUGACUCGGAUUUGGUCGCCGUUUGCGCUCACGGAUUCCUCUCGAGACGUACUUCAAUCUCAUAUCUUCAAAAUCCUUCAAUUAAUCCUUGAUUUUUCCUGAAAUUACUCCAAAACUACACCAAGACAUCAAAUCUUCAUAAAACUCAACAUUAUGGUACAAACACGCAUUGGCAAGCAAAAUAUGAAGGGAAAUGACAACAAAUCAUGUGGAAUUGAGGUACGAAAACCAUGUUUGUCAGUCACCCCUAUAAAUAAGGGAGAAGAACAUAACACAGUGCUCACAAUCACUAAAAUUUUUGUCCCUCCUUACUCUAAGAGGACGAAAAAUUUGUCUUCUCUUUUGUGUUGUUUUGCGCUCGUUUCUCAUCUAAUAGGCUCGUCAGUUCGUUGUCCAUCAAUGUUCGAGCUUUAUGAGGAAAUAGGUUAGAAGAUUCUUUAGGUUGAAUCAUAAGCUGUCAAAGAAUAUUCAAAGACAAUGAUACUGCAAUCAAGGACAUAUUUUGGGCAACAGGACAGGUGGACCGGAUCUUGAGCAAGAUGAUGCGCAAUGAAACUGUCGAUGUUUGUAGUAGAAAGCCAAAAAACUGUGGACGUAUGACAGUUGUUGUUCUUGAUCCGAAUUACAUAUCAAACAUACCUUUGUCAAAAAGAACUACAGUGAGGGGUUUAGCUGCAGCCGCAAACAUUGGAAAGCAUACUAUUGAAAGGCUUUUAAAUUCGGGAGAAAUUAGAAGGCAUAUAAAUUGCAUAAAGCCAAUGUUGACUGAACAAAACAUAAAAGCAAGACUACAAUGGUGUUUAUCAAUGCUUGAUCCAAGAAGUGGUUUUUAUAGCUAAGAAGUGGUUUAACAUGACAAAAAAGAAAGAAACUUAUUAUCUUUCUCAACUUGAAGAUGAACCAUUACGGACAUGUAAGAGUACAAACUUCAUUGGUAAAGUGAUGUUUUUGGCUGCAAUUACUCGUCCAAGGAUAGAUGAAAAUCAAAAUUUUACUUUUGAUGGGAAAAUUGAUUGUUUUCCUAUAGUUAAUCAUGUUGUUGCCCAAAGAAAUAGUGUAAAUCGGAAUGCAGAACGUUAGAGAUGAAAUCAAUCUCAUAGAUAAAUAAAGAUGUGGUGAAAUUUUUUAUGAUUGAAAAAAUACUUCCUGCUAUUCGAGCUAAGUGACCAAGAGAAGAUAUGCAUGAGACGAUUUACAUCCAACAAGAUAAUGAUCCGACCCAUAUUGAUCCUAGUGACCACCAAUUUAUUGAAGUGGCUAAACAAGAUGGUUUUGACAUCCAAAUCAUAUGCCAACCUCUGAAUUCUUCAUCCUUGAAUGUGUUAGAUCUUGGUUUCUUUCGUGCUAUUCAAGCAAUCCAAUUUAAGCAACGCCCUAAGUCGCCCAUGGUUUAACUUGUGAAUGCAGUGGAGUGGUUAAGGCGUUCGAGGAUUAUGAGCCAGUCAUGUCCAUUCAGAUAUUUUUAAUAUUACAACCAUGCAUGAUUGAGAUAAUGAAAACAAGGGGAUCUAAUCACUACAGAAUUCCCUAUCUGAAGAAAGGAAUGUUGGAAAGAGAACGUCGUCUUCCCUUAAAUAUGAAAUGUGAUAAUGUUGGUAAAUGGAGUUUUUGGGCGGAUUAAUGCAUGAUGAAAUGAUCAUAUGUUAGUUUUUUAUUUUUA